ACGAACGCUGGCGGCAUGCCUAACACAUGCAAGUCGAACGAACUCUUCGGAGUUAGUGGCGCACGGGUGCGUAACGCGUGGGAAUCUGCCCUUGGGUACGGAAUAACUCAGAGAAAUUUGUGCUAAUACCGUAUAAUGACUUCGGUCCAAAGAUUUAUCGCCCAAGGAUGAGCCCGCGUAAGAUUAGCUUGUUGGUGAGGUAAAAGCUCACCAAGGCGACGAUCUUUAGCUGGUCUGAGAGGAUGAUCAGCCACACUGGGACUGAGACACGGCCCAGACUCCUACGGGAGGCAGCAGUGGGGAAUAUUGGACAAUGGGCGAAAGCCUGAUCCAGCAAUGCCGCGUGAGUGAUGAAGGCCCUAGGGUUGUAAAGCUCUUUUACCCGGGAUGAUAAUGACAGUACCGGGAGAAUAAGCUCCGGCUAACUCCGU
rnacentral:rRNA from 1 species